ensembl:lncRNA
AUGUUGGCUGAAGGUUUUCUCAGACUGCUGGUGUACAGGGAGGAGAGAAAGUUUGCCUCCAAUUCCAAGCAAAAGAGAUUGCAGACAAGUGGUCAUUGUGCCGAUCCAUCCAACUGUGCUCGCUCUGACUCGAGCUCUGCAGUCCCAGGGGUGCAUUCAGCAGAAGCAGGGAUCACAGAGGAAGAUCUAAACUCCAGCCAACCCCAGAUUCUCAAAGUGGUGCCUCAGAGACCUGUAGCCCUCUCAAUCCCCACUGACCUGUACCCCCUUUACAUAGAAGACUGUAGCUUGCUGGAACAGUAUCCAGACCUGCAGGUGGCUGACUCAGGCCGCAUCACGCACAAUCUACUGAGAACUGCUGUCAGCCAGCCUGAUUUCUGCAUCCAGUCUCCCAUCUCUCAAGUUUGUCCAAGCACAGCCCAGCAAGAGCCACAGAAUUCAGUCCCAUCCAUACCAGACCAGGGUUAUCUAGCAAUGGGGGACAGUGCGAACAUCAGCCUGGAUCUGCCUGGACUAGAGCCCAUGUCUAACUCGGUGCUGAACGGGCUGCUGGAGAAACAGCUGGAGGAGGUGUACAUGCAGCAUCUAACUGAGAACUUAGCUCGAUGCAACUCCCACCUGGGGAACAGCCUCCUGCACGGCCUGGUGCCCCCGCCGCAGCCUAGCAGCCAGUCAGAGGGGGCGGACUCAUUACUGGGAAGCAUGGAAGGAAGCACAGAAGACAGCAGCAGUAAAAUUAGCUAUCUGAACACCCAUAACUUAGUGCCCUGCUCCUCCAACUUCAGCUCCCCAGUGUUGAGGAUUUCAGAGGCGGAAAAUCCUCAUCCGCAAUGAUCCUGCAACAGCUUUAAAUAUAAUUGUGACCUGUCUUUGCUUUAGUGCUUCACACCCACGUUUACACACACACGAUUGUAUCCACUAUAUCAGUGCUAUUUUUAUACAAAGCCUUGCUCUCUUGCUUAAGAUGCCUGAAACUUAGCUGCUUUCAUAUGCCAUCUGCUGUUAGAUUUGAGUAUUACACCAUCAUGGAGCUACUUGUUAUACAUUCAAAUGGAUUUUACUGACUUUUAGUUGGGAAUGUGUUAAGUGUUUGAUUUAUAAUAAAGCAAGAUAUAACAAAGUAUCAGUUUGAUGUGGUUUACAACAGCGUUUUAUUAAUCUGUUGCUUUUUACCAACACCUGUAAAGCUAUCUUGUACCCAUUUACUUAGCAGAAAGCUGGAUAUUGACAUUUAUGUGUGCUAUGAAAAAAUAUGGUGUGCAAAAGUUUUUGCCACAAAAUAACUGAUUCAAGUGUGAUUACAAAAAGCCUUCGGACUGCCUGAUAUCUAAUAGUGGUCAGGAGAAAAGGGGGGCAUGAUAAUGCUGCCAUGUUGGCAACACAGAUUAAACACAACCCCACCGACAAGGCCCCCUUCAACACAAGCACAAACUUUACACGUUAUUGACCAGUUCUAUGCAAACGUGUCUGAUUAGGUUUGCAUGAUGAUUUCCACGGGUGUAUACAUAUCAUCUUGUUUGAUCUGCGCAGGCAGUUAAAGGCAUAGGAGAAAGCAGGUUCUACCUGUAGUCCUGAGACAUUCAAGUCAGGAAUGUCGGCAACUUCCUAUCUCAUCCAGAGAUGUUAUGUUGUUAAGUUAAGUGGUUAGGUUUUUGUUUAAAGGGACCCGAAGAUCACUCUAGCUUUGGCAUCAACUGUCAGAGCAGCAGCCUCAAGAAAUAUGAUUGAUCUGGCUGCUAAGGGGAAACACAAAUCAUCCUCACAAGUAGGCAUCCUGCAGUGAGGCUAAUGGUAAUUCAUUAACAUGCACCAAUAUAAUCUUUGGAAGCCUAAGGCAUGCUAUUCAUCUGUGAAAAGAGAUGCAAAACAGAGAUUUAACUGAGGUUAUCCUGUAAUUAUUUAGAAUUUAGAUUAGAAUUGGCAGUGUGAUCAGGCUUUGUUAUAUGUAGCCUCUGUGUGGAGAUUAUGGCAGGUAAAUCCAAGGUAAUUUAGAGGAGCUAAUCUAAAAAUUGAAUACGAAGACAAAGAACAGGGGUAAAUUAGAUUUAACUUGUAGGAGAUGUAUUAGUCCCAAACCGAGUGAACAGAGGAAAUUAAGUUAUUAAGUUUUAUCUGAUAUAAGCUUGAAGUCUAUUGAGAUGGAUUCAAAUAUCUCAUGUUUGUUGUUAAAUGUGUUCAAUUGAACCCAGUCUAACUUAACGCUUGUUUCAACCAAGUCAAACUAUCAGUCCGUGUUUUUGUUUUGGUCAGUUUGGUCUGAGCUACAGUCUUUGUAUUUUAGCAUCUGUCCAUUACCUGCAAAUUUAUAAUCAUUUUCAUCAAUUC